rnacentral:rRNA from 1 species
AGUCUGGUGCCAGCAGCCGCGGUAAUUCCAGCUCCGAGAGUGUAUAUUAAAGUUGUUGCUGUUAAAAAGCUCGUAGUCGAAGGUUGAGGUUGUCGUAGUUUGUCAGUCUCGAAGCAAUUCGAGUUUUACUGACCUGGACGAUCUCUCUUUCCGGCGCUUAGAUGUUUGUUUGCUUAAUUGUACGCAUGGCAUUUGGCUCGGAACUUUCACUUUGAAAAAAUUGGAGUGUUCAAAGCAGGCCCUUGUUGGCCUCUGAACAAUUUAGCAUGGAAUGAUGAAACAAGACUUUUGGUCUUCGAUUUCGUUGGUUUGCGAGACCAAAGUAAUGAUUAAUAGGGAUAGUUGGGGGCAUUUGUAUUCCCAAGCUAGAGGUGGAAUUCUUGGAUUUUGGGAGGACAAACUUCUGCGAAAGCAUUUGCCAUGGAUGUUUUCAUUGAUCAAGAGCGACAGUGAAGGGAUCGAAAAGGAUUAGAGACCCUUGUAGUCUUCACCAUAAACUAUGCCGACUCGGGAUGGGUAGGUGUUACUAAAAUGACCCUCUCUGCACCGUAUGAGAAAUCAAAGUUUUUGGGUUCAGGGGGGAGUAUGGUCGCAAGGCUGAAACUUAAAGGAAUUGACGGAACGACACCACCAGGAGUGGAGCCUGCGGCUUAAUUUGACCCAACACGGGAAAACUUACCAGGUCAGGACAUGUGAAGGAUUGACAGAUUGAUAGCUCUUUCUUGAUUAUAUGGGUGGUGGCGCAUGGCCGUUUUUAGUUGGUGGAGUGAUUUGUCUGGUUAAUUCCGUUAACGAACGAGACCGUUGCCUGCUAAAUAGUUUCGCAUAUUUUCGGAUAUGUUUUUUGGAACUUCUUAGAGGGACUUCUUGCGAUUAGCAAGAGGAAGUUGGCGGCAAAAACAGGUCUGUGAUGCCCUUAGAUGUUCUGGGCCGCACGCGCGCUACACUGACGGGUUCAACAAGUUUUCUUACAUUCUCUUUGAGAUUAUAUGUCUUCCCUGCUCGAAAGGGCUGGGUAAUCUUUGAACACCCGUCGUGAUGGGGAUAGACCCUUGCAAUUAUUGGUCUUCAACGAGGAAUUCCUAGUAGUCGCAACUCAUCAGGUUGCAGCGAUUACGUCCCUGUCGUUUGUACACACCGCCCGUCGCUUCUACCGAUGAAUGCUCAGGCAAACCUUUCGGAUUCCUUGACAGUGCAGGUUCGCCAGCAGUGUUUUUUAGGGAAAAGUCAUGUGAACCUUAUCAUUUAGAGGAAGAAGAAGUC